ACGGGAGAGACAACAGGGAUUGCCUUAGUAACGGCGAGUGAAGCGGCAAUAGCUCAAAUUUGAAAGCUGGCGUCUUCGACGUCCGCGUUGUAAUUUGUAGAGGAUGCUUCGGCGAGGACUCCUGCCUAAGUCCCCUGGAACGGGGCGUCACAGAGGGUGAGAAUCCCGUAUGUGGCGGGCGGUCCAAGCCAUGUGAAGCUCCUUCGACGAGUCGAGUUGUUUGGGAAUGCAGCUCUAAAUGGGAGGUAAAUUUCUUCUAAAGCUAAAUAUUGGCCAGAGACCGAUAGCGCACAAGUAGAGUGAUCGAAAGAUGAAAAGCACUUUGGAAAGAGAGUUAAAAAGUACGUGAAAUUGUUGAAAGGGAAGCGCUUGCAACCAGACUCGCUCGCAGUUGCUCAGCCGGCCUCUUGGCCGGCGUACUCUUCUGCGAUCGGGCCAGCAUCAGUUCGGGCGGCCGGAUAAAGGUGUCGGGAAUGUAGCACCCUUCGGGGUGUGUUAUAGCCCGGCGCGGAAUGCGGCCAGCCUGGACUGAGGAUCUCGCUUCGGCAAGGAUGCUGGCGUAAUGGUUGUAAGCGGCCCGUCUUGAAACACGGACCAAGGAGUCUAACAUCUAUGCGAGUGUUUGGGUGUCAAACCCAUGCGCGUAAUGAAAGUGAACGGAGGUGGGAACCCCUCACGGGGUGCACCAUCGACCGAUCCUGAUGUCUUCGGAUGGAUUUGAGUAAGAGCAUAGCUGUUGGGACCCGAAAGAUGGUGAACUAUGCCUGAAUAGGGUGAAGCCAGAGGAAACUCUGGUGGAGGCUCGCAGCGGUUCUGACGUGCAAAUCGAUCGUCAAAUUUGGGUAUAGGGGCGAAAGACUAAUCGACCAUCUUUGGGCCG
rnacentral:rRNA from 1 species